CCAUGCAGCUUGUAAAUGCUCAAAUCUGACCCUCUCAAACAUCACUGUAAAUGACUCUGGUUUAUACAUCUGUCAAGUAAACAUAGAUAUACCAAAGCUUCAUCAAUCAGGAGGGAAUGGAACCAACAUAACAGUUACAACCAUCAAACAAGUUAACAUGACAAACGGAAAAGAAGAAGAAGAAAUCAACCACUCACAUCUCCUGUUUAUCAUAAUUUCUCUGGCUGUCCUGGCUGUCCUUUUCUUUGCUGCUCUAUUCUGCUUUAUGAUUAGAAAACACGUCUUGGAUUCAGAGAAUAUAGCCAUGGGGAUAUACGAGGCUCCGCACCCUGGGUCAGAGGAGUCUGAUGGCCAGAGCACCAAUUCCUCCAGGGGAUCUACCCAGUGGUGUCAAGUCCAGGUGUACGAAUCUUUCGAUUACUUUGCUGUCAAAGACAACAAAGGAAAAGGAUGAAAGGAGUCAGGUGGCUGAGCGGUUAGGGAAUCGGGCUAGUAAUCAGAAGGUUGCUGGUUCGAUCCCCGGCUCUGCCAAAUGACGUUGUGUCUUUGGGCAAGGCACUUCACCCUACUUGCCUCAGGGGAAUGUCCCUGUACUUACUGUAAGUCGCUCUGGAUAAGAGCGUCUGCUAAAUGUCUCAGCUCAUUUCAACCUUUUUUUUAUCUCCACUGUACUGUCUGCAUACUGUAUUUCUAUUAUUGCUGUAAUUAUUUUCUUAUUUUGUAUUUGCCUAAAAAUAUAA